AUUGAACGCUGGCGGCAGGCUUAACACAUGCAAGUCGAGCGGAGCGGCGGACGGGUGAGUAAUGCUUAGGAAUCUGCCUAUUCGUGGGGGACAACAUCUCGAAAGGGAUGCUAAUCCCGAAUACUAAUAGAUGAGCAUAAGUCGGAUUAGCUAGUUGGUGGGGUAAAGGCCUACCAAGGCGACGAUCUGGAGCGGGUCUGAGAGGAUGAUCCGCCACACUGGGACUGAGGCACGGCCCAGGAUCCUACGGGAGGCAGCAGUUGGGGAUAUUGGGCAAUGGGGGGAACCCUGAUCCAGCCAAGGCGCGUGUGUGGAGAAGGCCUUAUGGUUGUAAAGCACUUUAAGCGAGGAGGCGUUACUCGCAGAAUAAGCACCGGCUAACUCUGUGCCAGCAGCCGCGGUAAUUC
rnacentral:rRNA from 1 species